UCCCGUACGGAGGGUGAGUUCGACCAGGACCCUCACCCUCCUGUACAGUCUCUUCUCGCAGCGCAACGCAGGAAA
rnacentral:tRNA from 1 species